CUCUCACGCUCAAUUACUUAAGGUAAAUUCUCAUAUCUUUUUUUAUGAAUGUAAUGAGCCUAUCUUCUCUUCUUUGUUCAUAUUCCAAAAAGAUAUCGAAACUAAUGUAAGACCAAAAUAGUCGGAGGACUCUUCUGACAAACUCAAAAAUAUGUAAUUGUCAGCAAAGUUGUUUCUUUUUUUUUCAAAUCCAAAAAGUUCUUCUUACUUAGAAUAGGUCGUCGAUUCAGCAUUAGAUAAAGGGGGUAAAAUCCCUGUUUUUACAAUUUACAAUAAGCGGUUAAAAUCAUUUUAUCAAUAUGAGUAUCCUAUAUCGAUAAAAUAUUUAUUUUGAAACCACCUCUAACAUAGUGGUAGAAAGAGUACCAUGCUGCGUCUAGACUUCAAACAGUUUGUUUUAACCAUGUUAAUAGUUCCACAUUAUUGGUUAAUAGAGAAUCAAAAUAAAUUUACCAAUGAAUCGCGAAAUGCUAUGGUUCUUACAUAUAAUUUAUGAAUUUAUACAGAAGUAAUUCGCGAGAUCAUGCACCUCUCUUUCCUACUUAUAACGGAAAAGGGUACAGUUGGUUGGUCCAACCUAUUCUUGAAAUAAACAACUCGCACACACUCCCUUUCCAAAAAAAAUCAAUACACCAAGCACUACACUUAGAUUUAUUGGAUUUGUUGCUAAAAUAUCGGUAUUAAACCCGAAACUCCCGGCAGAUGGCCAGUGGCCCAAAGAAACGAAAGAAUCGGUUACGUUUUUCAUAUGAUCUCCUCUUAUAGAUAGACUAAAAAAUCGAACAGAGUUCUUUUUGUAGCACUUCGCCCCUCUUUUUAUUUAUUCUUUUAUUUUUUCUGAAAUUGAGUAAAAAAAUAAAAAAUAUUCGAGUUAGUUAGAAAUUAUGAACUAAUGAACUAGCCCUUUUAUUGGUUAUUGGAACACUAACACUUACUAAAAAGAGUUUCCCUUGGUCUAUGAACGGGAAGGAUGAAAGCGAGUCAAGUAGGCUAAUUCCUCAUCCGCAAAUCAGCCCUUCCCCUAGGUUCUUUUCUCAAAGAAUAAAGAAUGGUAGGAGGGAAAUCUUGAUAGAAUUUGAAAAAGCAAACGACAAGUCGAAGGCAAUAAAAUAUGAAAAAUAUAUUUUUCAUAUUUCUAAGCUAAGAUUAAACAAAAGGAUUUGCAAAUAAAAGUGCUAAUGCUACAACCAGUCCAUAAAUUGUUAAAGCUUCCAUAAAAGCUAGACUAAGCAAUAGCGUACCUCGUAUUUUGCCCUCUGCCUCAGGCUGUCUCGCGAUACCCUCUACAGCUUGACCCGCAGCAGUCCCUUGACCAACUCCAGGUCCAAUAGAAGCAAGCCCUACGGCCAAUCCAGCAGCAAUAACGGAAGCGGCAGAAAUCAGUGGAUUCAUGAUAAGUUCCUCGUACCAAAAAAAGAAAUGGUUAAUGAUACAAUCAACCAAUGAAUUAUGACUUAAUUAUUCCCUCACUAGGACUCAUCCAGUCGAAGUAACUAAGAACUUCGGAUUGAAGUAAUAAGAUUCUUGAAUCAUCAAAACAACUUCGAUAUAUCUUUUUUACUUUUUAGCCACAGAGUCUUUGUGAACCCAUACGACUUUCAUUCUUCCAUUUCUUGUUCUUGGUUCGAACUGUUAGUUGAAUUAUUUCUUGAUUUCAUCCGUUUAGUCAUUCAAUUCACAGUCACAAGGGGCCGGAAGGACUUCUAGUCUAUUAGAAUCCCCUAGAAAAAUAUAUCUUUAGUAGUUCAUUUCAUAUAUAACUAGCACUAGGCAAUAUCUAAUAUCACAUAUACAUGUCUUUCUUCCAUAACGUAAACCAAGCAUUCAUCUUAGAUUUAAUCCUAUUCGAGAAUCAAGCGUCGAAACAUCUAGAAGGGUUCGCUUAUAGUUAUUCAAGUACAGAUACCUCCCGCCCCUUUCUAAAAUACUAAAAAAAACUUUUGAAAAAUUCUUUUGAAUCUUACCUUUUCUUAUUAUUCCACCUAGAGAAAUCUAAAUGGACAAAUUGAUUAGGACGACAAAUUCCAUAGGUAUAGAAAUAUCAUUAUUUGAUUGAUCUAAGUUCAUGCACUUUAUUAAUAAAACUGAAUAAAAAAAUUAUUCAUUUUUAUUAUUUAUUUAUUAUUAAUAUUUUGGUGAAUCGUUGAAUAAAAUCAACUGAAAGGGAAAUCAUUUCGCCCUUUUUUUUAUUUAAUUACACGUCGUAAACCUAUACAACAAGAAUUAUUGACAAAAAUUCUUAUAUUCAAAUUGUUUUAACAAUGAAUUAAUAAUGAGAUGGACUAAGCAAUCUAAAGUGAAUAUUCAUUGAGACGAAGUAUGAUAUUAAGUGAAGGAAAGGGGAAUUUUAGGAAAAAGAUCUAAAAACAAAGAUCUUUUUCCCCUUACUCUUUAAUAUCAUCGUAAUGUUUUUGCUAUCAUUCUAGAUCGUAUAUAGCAUAGUUGUAUAUUUAGAUUCCCCUAUUCUAUUCCGUAAGUUAAGUAAUUCUCUUAAGCCACC
rnacentral:lncRNA from 1 species